rnacentral:rRNA from 1 species
GACGAACGCUGGCGGCGUGCUUAACACAUGCAAGUCGAACGGAAAGGCCCUGCUUGCAGGGUACUCGAGUGGCGAACGGGUGAGUAACACGUGGGUGAUCUGCCCUGCACUUCGGGAUAAGCCUGGGAAACUGGGUCUAAUACCGGAGAGGAGCCAUUUUUAGUGUGAUGGUUGGAAAGUUAUUUCGGUGUGGGAUGAGCUAGCGGCCUAUCAGCUUGUUGGUGGGGUAAUGGCCUACCAAGGCGGCGACGGGUAGCCGGCCUGGGAGGGUGGACGGCCACAUUGGGGCUGGGAGACGGCCCAGAAUCCUACGGGGGGCAGCAGUGGGGAAUAUUGCACAAUGGGCGCAAGCCUGAUGCCGCGACGCCGGGGGGGGGAGGACGGCCUUCGGGUUGGAAACUCCUUUCGCUAGGGACGAAGCUUUUUGUGACGGUACCUAGAGAAGAAGCACCGGCUAACUACGUG